rnacentral:rRNA from 1 species
AUACGUAGGUGGCAAGCGUUAUCCGGAUUUACUGGGUGUAAAGGGCGCGUAGGCGGGGGUGCAAGUCAGAUGUGAAAUCUAUGGGCUUAACUCAUAAACUGCAUUUGAAACCGUAUCUCUUGAGUGCUGGAGAGGUAGACGGAAUUCCUUGUGUAGCGGUGAAAUGCGUAGAUAUAAGGAAGAACACCAGUGGCGAAGGCGGUCUACUGGACAGUAACUGACGCUGAGGCGCGAAAGCGUGGGGAGCAAACAGGAUUAGAUACCCUGGUAGUCCACGCUGUAAACGAUGAAUACUAGGUGUGGGGGGACUGACCCCCUCCGUGCCGCAGUUAACACAAUAAGUAUUCCACCUGGGGAGUACGGCCGCAAGGUUGAAACUCAAAUGAAUUGACGGGG